ACACUCAGGAAAGCCAGGAGCAGAUCUGUCAACUGGAGGUCACCACUGUAUGGUGCAGCAGUGCUGGAAGCCUUUAACGCCUGUGCCUACGGAGCUCAGGCUAUGUUUAUGAAAAGGCGAAACGGUGACCAACACGCAUACCUCGAUGAGUCCAAGUCAAUAAGAA